rnacentral:tRNA from 1 species
ACUUUUAUAAUUUAUUUGUAAGAAUGUUGCACUGAAGAUGCAAAAGAGGUAGUUUACCUGAAAG